rnacentral:tRNA from 1 species
GGGAGUGGUUGGAUUCCGGUGAGUUCCCCAGUCUUCAAAACUGGUGACAGGUCGCGGUGCGCUCUGUGGUGGGUUCGACUCCCAUGCACUCCCGCA